rnacentral:rRNA from 1 species
UACAGAGGUGUCAAACGUUGUCCGGAAUUACUGGGCGUAAAGGGCGCGUAGGCGGCCUUAUAAGUCAUGUGUGAAAGCUCUGGGCUCAACCCAGGAACUGCGUCCGAUACUGGUUGGCUUGAAUCCGGGAGAGGGACGUGGAAUUCCAGGUGUAGCGGUGAAAUGCGUAGAUAUCUGGAGGAACACCGGUGGCGAAGGCGACGUCCUGGACCGGCAUUGACGCUGAGGCGCGAAAGCCAGGGGAGCAAACGGG